UACGUAGGGUGCGAGCGUUAAUCGGAAUUACUGGGCGUAAAGCGUGCGCAGGCGGUUUUGUAAGCCAGAUGUGAAAUCCCCGGGCUUAACCUGGGAAUGGCAUUUGGGACUGCAAGGCUGGAGUGCGGCAGAGGAGACUGGAAUUCCUGGUGUAGCGGUGAAAUGCGUAGAUAUGUGGAGGAAUACCGAUGGCGAAGGCAGCCUCCUGGGCCAACACUGACGCUCAUGCACGAAAGCGUGGGGAGCAAACAGG
rnacentral:rRNA from 1 species